rnacentral:rRNA from 1 species
UCCUACGGGGGGCAGCAGUAGGGAAUUUUCGUCAAUGGGCGCAAGCCUGAACGAGCAAUGCCGCGUGAACGAGGAAGGUCUUCGGAUCGUAAAGUUCUGUUGAAGGGGAAAAAGAGCGGAGAGAGGAAAUGGUCUCCGAUUGAUAUUACCCUUCGAGGAAGUCACGGCUAACUACGUGCCAGCAGCCGCGGUAAUACGUAGGUGGCGAGCGUUUUCCGGAAUGAUUGGGCGUAAAGGGUGCGUAGGCGGCCUGCUAAGUCUGGAGUGAAAGGUACCGGCUCAACCGGUACAGGCUCUGGAAACUG